rnacentral:rRNA from 1 species
UGAAAUCUCACCAGGCCCGGACACUGGAAGGAUUGACAGAUUGAUAGCUCUUUCUUGAUUCGGUGCGUGGUGGUGCAUGGCCGUUCUUAGUUGGUUGAGUGAUUUGUCUGGUUAAUUCCGUUAACGAACGAGACCUUAACCUGCUAAAUAGUGACGCGGUUCAUCGAACCGUGGGCCACUUCUUAGAGGGACUAUCGGAUUCAAACCGAUGGAAGUGUGAGGCAAUAA